rnacentral:pre_miRNA from 1 species
UGGACAGAUUAUUGUAUUCGACUGUAUUAACGGCGUGAAAUAGGGGAUUACACUAUUUUUAAAACGGAAAGUGAAUCAAUUAACAUAAUAGACUCCU